UGGGGGAUAUUGCACAAUGGGCGAAAGCCUGAUGCAGCGACGCCGCGUGGGGGAUGAAGGCCUUCGGGUUGUAAACUUCUUUUGCUCUGAACAAGGCGCACCAUGGGGUGUGUUGAGUGUAGGGGUUGAUUAGCGCCGGCUAACUACGUGCCAGCAGCCGCGGUAAUACGUAGGGCGCGAGCGUUGUCCGGAAUUAUUGGUCGUAAAGGGCUUGUAGGUGGCUGGUUGCGUCUGUCGUGAAAGCUCAUGGCUUAACUGUGGGUUUGCGGUGGGUACGGGCUGGCUUGAGUGCAGUAGGGGAGGCUGGAAUUCCUGGUGUAGCGGUGGAAUGCGCAGAUAUCAGGAGGAAUACCGGUGGCGAAGGCGGGUCUCUGGGCUGUUACUGACACUGAGGAGCGAAAGCAUGGGGAGCGAACAGG
rnacentral:rRNA from 1 species